rnacentral:rRNA from 1 species
GAGGGAAACCGAGUCUUAACCGGGCGUUAAGUUGCAGGGUAUAGACCCGAAACCCGGUGAUCUAGCCAUGGGCAGGUUGAAGGUUGGGUAACACUAACUGGAGGACCGAACCGACUAAUGUUGAAAAAUUAGCGGAUGACCUGUGGCUGGGGGUGAAAGGCCAAUCAAACCGGGAGAUAGCUGGUUCUCCCCGAAAGCUAUUUAGGUAGCGCCUCGUGAAUUCAUCUCCGGGGGUAGAGCACUGUUUCGGCUAGGGGGCCAUCCCGGCUUACCAACCCGAUGCAAACUGCGAAUACCGGAGAAUGUUAUCACGGGAGACACACGGCGGGUGCUAACGUCCGUCGUGAAGAGGGAAACAACCCAGACCGCCAGCUAAGGUCCCAAAGUCAUGGUUAAGUGGGAAACGAUGUGGGAAGGCCCAGACAGCCAGGAUGUUGGCUUAGAAGCAGCCAUCAUUUAAAGAAAGCGUAAUAGCUCACUGGUCGAGUCGGCCUGCGCGGAAGAUGUAACGGGGCUAAACCAUGCACCGAAGCUGCGGCAGCGACACUCAGGUGUUGUUGGGUAGGGGAGCGUUCUGUAAGCCUGCGAAGGUGUGUCGUGAGGCAUGCUGGAGGUAUCAGAAGUGCGAAUGCUGACAUAAGUAACGAUAAAGCGGGUGAAAAGCCCGCUCGCCGGAAGACCAAGGGUUCCUGUCCAACGUUAAUCGGGGCAGGGUGAGUCGACCCCUAAGGCGAGGCCGAAAGGCGUAGUCGAUGGGAAACGGGUUAAUAUUCCCGUACUUGGUGUUACUGCGAAGGGGGGACGGAGAAGGCUAUGUUGGCC